GAGUUUGAUCCUGGCUCAGGAUGAACGCUAGCGGCAGGCUUAAUACAUGCAAGUCGUGGGGCAGCGCGGGUAGCAAUACCUGGCGGCGACCGGCAAACGGGUGAGGAACAUGUACGCAACCUUCCUUUAACUGGAGAAUAGCCCCUCGAAAGAGGGAUUAAUACUCCGUAACAUAUUGAUAAGGCAUCUUAUUAAUAUUAUAGCUCCGGCGGUUAAAGAUGGGCGUGCACCUGAUUAGAUAGUUGGCGGGGUAACGGCCCACCAAGUCUGCGAUCAGUAACUGGUGUGAGAGCACGACCAGUCACACGGGCACUGAGACACGGGUCCGACUCCUACGGGAGGCAGCAGUAAGGAAUAUUGGUCAAUGGACGCAAGUCUGAACCAGCCAUGCCGCGUGGAGGAUUAAGGCCCUNUGGGUU
rnacentral:rRNA from 1 species